rnacentral:rRNA from 1 species
GCAAGUCGAACGGUAGCACAGAGAGCUUGCUCUCGGGUGACGAGUGGCGGACGGGUGAGUAAUGUCUGGGAAACUGCCUGAUGGAGGGGGAUAACUACUGGAAACGGUAGCUAAUACCGCAUAACGUCGCAAGACCAAAGAGGGGGACCUUCGGGCCUCUUGCCAUCAGAUGUGCCCAGAUGGGAUUAGCUAGUAGGUGGGGUAACGGCUCACCUAGGCGACGAUCCCUAGCUGGUCUGAGAGGAUGACCAGCCACACUGGAACUGAGACACGGUCCAGACUCCUACGGGAGGCAGCAGUGGGGAAUAUUGCACAAUGGGCGCAAGCCUGAUGCAGCCAUGCCGCGUGUAUGAAGAAGGCCUUCGGGUUGUAAAGUACUUUCAGCGGGGAGGAAGGUGUUGUGGUUAAUAACCACAGCAAUUGACGUUACCCGCAGAAGAAGCACCGGCUAACUCCGUGCCAGCAGCCGCGGUAAUACGGAGGGUGCAAGCGUUAAUCGGAAUUACUGGGCGUAAAGCGCACGCAGGCGGUCUGUCAAGUCGGAUGUGAAAUCCCCGGGCUCAACCUGGGAACUGCAUUCGAAACUGGCAGGCUAGAGUCUUGUAGAGGGGGGUAGAAUUCCAGGUGUAGCGGG